CCUACGGGAGGCAGCAGUGGGGAAUAUUGCACAAUGGGGGGAACCCUGAUGCAGCGACGCCGCGUGAGUGAAGAAGUAUUUCGGUAUGUAAAGCUCUAUCAGCAGGAACGAGACAAGACGGUACCUGACUAAGAAGCCCCGGCUAACUACGUGCCAGCAGCCGCGGUAAUACGUAGGGGGCAAGCGUUAUCCGGAAUCACUGGGUGUAAAGGGAGCGUAGACGGCUGAGCAAGCCUGAAGUGAAAGGCGGGGGGCCAACCCCCGGACUGCUUUGGAAACUGUACGGCUGGAGUGCAGGAGAGGUAAGUGGAAUGCCUAGUGUAGCGGUGAAAUGCGUAGAGAUUAGGAGGAACACCAGUGGCGAAGGCGGCUUACUGGACUGUAACUGACGUUGAGGCUCGAAAGCGUGGGGAGCAAACAGGAUUAGAUACCCCUGUAGUC
rnacentral:rRNA from 1 species